GUAAUCGCGGAUCAGCAUGCCGCGGUGAAUACGUUCCCGGGCCUUGUACACACCGCCCGUCACACCAUGGGAGUCGGUAACACCCGAAGCCUGUAGUCUAACCGCAAGGAGGACGCAGUCGAAGGUGGGAUUGAUGACUGGGGUGAAGUCGUAACAAGGUACC
rnacentral:rRNA from 1 species